rfam:Lactobacillus sharpeae JCM 1186 = DSM 20505 NODE_16, whole genome shotgun sequence.
AAAUCCUUUAACAACAGUCCCGCGAGGCUGUAAAGGAGUCGACGACUGGUUGCGACCGGUAAGCACUUAGACUUCCACUUGCGGGUGGGAGUCUUUUUUU